rnacentral:rRNA from 1 species
CCUACGGGUGGCUGCAGUGGGGAAUAUUGGACAAUGGGGGGAACCCUGAUCCAGCCAUGCCGCGUGUGUGAAGAAGGCCCUCGGGUUGUAAAGCACUUUCAGUGAGGAAGAACGCCUGGUGGUUAAUACCCAUCAGGAAAGACAUCACUCACAGAAGAAGCACCGGCUAACUCCGUGCCAGCAGCCGCGGUAAUACGGAGGGUGCGAGCGUUAAUCGGAAUUACUGGGCGUAAAGCGCGCGUAGGUGGCUUGAUAAGCCGGUUGUGAAAGCCCCGGGCUCAACCUGGGAACGGCAUCCGGAACUGUCAAGCUAGAGUGCAGGAGAGGAAGGUAGAAUUCCAGGUGUAGCGGUGAAAUGCGUAGAGAUCGGGAGGAAUACCAGUGGCGAAGGCGGCCUUCUGGACUGACACUGACACUGAGGUGCGAAAGCGUGGGUAGCAAACAGGAUUAGAUACCCCAGUAGUC